rnacentral:rRNA from 1 species
CACGUAGGGCGCAAGCGUUGUCCGGAAUUAUUGGGCGUAAAGAGCUCGUAGGCGGUCCGUCACGUCCGCUGUGAAAACCCAGGGCUCAACCCUGGGCUUGCAGUGGAUACGGGCAGACUAGAGGUAGGUAGGGGAGAAUGGAAUUCCCGGUGUAGCGGUGAAAUGCGCAGAUAUCGGGAGGAACACCGGUGGCGAAGGCGGCAUCCUGGACCAAUUCUGACGCUGAGGAGCGAAAGCCAGGGGAGCAAACGGG